rnacentral:rRNA from 1 species
UGGGCGUUAAGUUGCAGGGUAUAGACCCGAAACCCGGUGAUCUAGCCAUGGGCAGGUUGAAGGGUGGGUAACACUAACUGGAGGACCGAACCGACUAAUGUUGAAAAAUUAGCGGAUGACCUGUGGCUGGGGGUGAAAGGCCAAUCAAACCGGGAGAUAGCUGGUUCUCCCCGAAAGCUAUUUAGGUAGCGCCUCGUGAAUUCAUCUCCGGGGGUAGAGCACUGUUUCGGCUAGGGGGCCAUCCCGGCUUACCAACCCGAUGCAAACUGCGAAUACCGGAGAAUGUUAUCACGGGAGACACACGGCGGGUGCUAACGUCCGUCGUGAAGAGGGAAACAACCCAGACCGCCAGCUAAGGUCCCAAAGUCAUGGUUAAGUGGGAAACGAUGUGGGAAGGCCCAGACAGCCAGGAUGUUGGCUUAGAAGCAGCCAUCAUUUAAAGAAAGCGUAAUAGCUCACUGGUCGAGUCGGCCUGCGCGGAAGAUGUAACGGGGCUAAACCAUGCACCGAAGCUGCGGCAGCGACACUGUGUGUUGUUGGGUAGGGGAGCGUUCUGUAAGCCUGUGAAGGUGUGUCGUGAGGCAUGCUGGAGGUAUCAGAAGUGCGAAUGCUGACAUAAGUAACGAUAAAGCGGGUGAAAAGCCCGCUCGCCGGAAGACCAAGGGUUCCUGUCCAACGUUAAUCGGGGCAGGGUGAGUCGACCCCUAAGGCGAGGCCGAAAGGCGUAGUCGAUGGGAAACGGGUUAAUAUUCCCGUACUUGGUGUUACUGCGAAGGGGGGACGGAGAAGGCUAUGUUGGCCGGGCGACGGUUGUCCCGGUUUAAGCGUGUAGGUGUGUGUUCCAGGUAAAUCCGGUUCACUUUAACACUGAGGCGUGACGACGAGGCACUACGGUGCUGAAGCAACAAAUGCCCUGCUUCCAGGAAAAGCCUCUAAGCAUCAGGUAACAUCAAAUCGUACCCCAAACCGACACAGGUGGUCAGGUAGAGAAUACCAAGGCGCUUGAGAGAACUCGGGUGAAGGAACUAGGCAAAAUGGUGCCGUAACUUCGGGAGAAGGCACGCUGACACGUAGGUGAAGUGAUUUACUCAUGGAGCUGAAGUCAGUCGAAGAUACCAGCUGGCUGCAACUGUUUAUUAAAAACACAGCACUGUGCAAACACGAAAGUGGACGUAUACGGUGUGACGCCUGCCCGGUGCCGGAAGGUUAAUUGAUGGGGUCAGCGCAAGCGAAGCUCCUGAUCGAAGCCCCGGUAAACGGCGGCCGUAACUAUAACGGUCCUAAGGUAGCGAAAUUCCUUGUCGGGUAAGUUCCGACCUGCACGAAUGGCGUAAUGAUGGCCAGGCUGUCUCCACCCGAGACUCAGUGAAAUUGAACUCGCUGUGAAGAUGCAGUGUACCCGCGGCAAGACGGAAAGACCCCGUGAACCUUUACUAUAGCUUGACACUGAACAUUGAGCCUUGAUGUGUAGGAUAGGUGGGAGGCUUUGAAGUGUGGACGCCAGUCUGCAUGGAGCCGACCUUGAAAUACCACCCUUUAAUGUUUGAUGUUCUAACGUGGACCCGUUACCCGGGUUGCGGACAGUGUCUGGUGGGUAGUUUGACUGGGGCGGUCUCCUCCUAAAGAGUAACGGAGGAGCACGAAGGUUGGCUAAUCCUGGUCGGACAUCAGGAGGUUAGUGCAAUGGCAUAAGCCAGCUUGACUGCGAGCGUGACGGCGCGAGCAGGUGCGAAAGCAGGUCAUAGUGAUCCGGUGGUUCUGAAUGGAAGGGCCAUCGCUCAACGGAUAAAAGGUACUCCGGGGAUAACAGGCUGAUACCGCCCAAGAGUUCAUAUCGACGGCGGUGUUUGGCACCUCGAUGUCGGCUCAUCACAUCCUGGGGCUGAAGUAGGUCCCAAGGGUAUGGCUGUUCGCCAUUUAAAGUGGUACGCGAGCUGGGUUUAGAACGUCGUGAGACAGUUCGGUCCCUAUCUGCCGUGGGCGCUGGAGAACUGAGGGGGGCUGCUCCUAGUACGAGAGGACCGGAGUGGACGCAUCACUGGUGUUCGGGUUGUCAUGCCAAUGGCACUGCCCGGUAGCUAAAUGCGGAAGAGAUAAGUGCUGAAAGCAUCUAAGCACGAAACUUGCCCCGAG